rfam:Gossypium arboreum cultivar AKA8401 contig_29638_3, whole genome shotgun sequence.
UACUAACUUUUCUUUUAUUUUUUUCUGGCAGGUUUCUUUAGUUUAUGACUAGAAGAAACCCAU